rnacentral:tRNA from 1 species
GGGGAUGUAGCUUAGCAGCACAGUGCCUGCCUGGUAAGCACGAGACCCUGAGUUCAGUUCCCAGUGCCCCA